AUGCAAAAACAAACAAACAAACAAACAAACAAACAAAAUAAAUCAAUUCCAUUUUGUGAUAAUUUGAUUUUUUUAAGUCUGAGGAAAUACAAUUUCAGAAAGUAUGUCUCAUUUCACAUACUCAAUCAUUCAAAGGUUUGGGAUCAGUUUUUUUUUUUUUUUUUUUUUUUUUGGUUAUUUAAGAUAAUCACUAGCUAGGUCAAGGUUUUGACAUUUUGAAAUAUUAGAUUAGCAGUACUAAUACAGUAUAUUACUGGAACAGGCAGGUUAAGGAAGUAUAAAAGGUUGACAGUUGUAACUAUGAUAGGUAAACAAAAGCAAAAACCAGUUUGAAAGUGCACAAAGCACCAUAUACCAGUAACUAAAAAAAGAAAUGCCAUGCAGUUAACCGAUUUCAGUGCUGGUUUAUUAGUGGCACAAGCCAGUUCAGCUUGGUAAAACAGUUUGACUGGUUCUUAUUGGUUGAAUAAUUUUGUGGACAAUGAGGGCCUUGGAGACAUUAAUGUUGAGAACCACUGGACUAGUUUUCUAUCAUGAUGGGUGAAAAGCCAAACCAGUAAGGAAAAGCCAAACCAGUAAGAAAGUGCCCAAACUAUACCAACCACUGAAUAACUGCUUAUUUGUAGGAUGAAUAAAUAUAACAUGCUUGGACAAAAAUCUUUUGACAAAAAAUGUAAAUGUGAAUUGUAAAUGUAUGUGUGGAAAAAACAAUAGUUCCAUCUUAAUAAUUCAACUACAUCCCACAGACGGUCCAAAUUUAGGUUUUUAAUACAGGCAGAAUCUAAUUGACAUUGGCUAAUUAGCAGCUAAUUCAUUAAAAAUGCAUGACUUGAACACAUACGCAGGACAGGUUAAUUCCUUCAUUUAUCAGUUUUUCUCUAAAAGUAAUUAUACUGAGCUCUAAAUUAGAACUGUGCUAUCCCAUCCCCAUUACUAAGAAAAGCUCCUAGAUAACACACUUCUACUCAUUCACUCCCCUUCUCAGAGUCAUAAAAGAGAUCUUUAAAGUGUUAAUUUGGCUGGCAUGGAACACACAUUUUUAAAAUAGGAAGAGUUACUGGAGAUAACAGGUGAUUUGAAGUAGGGGGGAUGCCAAUGUCUCUAUUUGAAAACAAUGGCCCUAAUUGUUUUAUUUCAGUCUAUUAAUCUUAAACAGUCCCACAGAAGAAAGGAUUUCUCCAGUGAUGAAUAGUGGGACAUUCCAAUUCCCACUUAAUAGCAAUUAAUUUUCUGAUAGCCAUGGAAGUUUGACUAGUUUUAAUUAGUUUGUGAGGAACAGGGACGCCGGUGACAGGCUGACUAAAUGCAUUCUCAUCAAAGACUAACAGGCCAGUCCACCUGACCUCUCUUCAAAUCACUGUGCCUUUAAUGUCCUAUUUAUACUUCAAAAUAACUCAUAUAACUCAUAUAAAACGCAUAUAUCCUCACAUAUACAUACAUACAAACAUACAUAUAGCUUUUGUUUUUUUUCCAGUUGUUAAGGUUCUGGGUAUAAAUAGUCUCAGCCUACUGUAAAUCUGCCCCUCUGAUAAGAGAAUGGGUAUGUUGAUGGUAGACAUAAGAAAAAUGUAAGCAAGUGGAGAACUUACUUUCCAUAGCCUGCAGGUACUCCAUAUGCAGGGCGUUGCUUGCAGGACCUGUUGUGGAUGCCACUGAAGGAAUGAUGUCAGUGUACGGGCUGCGAUGACCUGUAAGUAGGGCCAUCUGGUGGUAGUACUCUGCUGUGGUCAAACUGGCAUGAGGUGCUGAAGCAUCAAAUGAUGACAUAAAAACAUCAGUCAUUAGACAAAUACACUACUGUUCAAAAGUUUUGGACAAGUAAGAUUUUUAAAAGAAUUAAGACUUUUAAUCAGAAGUAUAAAAUUAAUAAGAUUUCAUAAGAAACAUCUUAUAAAAACAUUAAAAA
rnacentral:lncRNA from 1 species